rnacentral:rRNA from 1 species
UCCGUAGGUGAACCUGCGGAAGGAUCAUUAUCAGGAUCGAGGCUUCUGCCCGAUCUCAACGUACCCCCUUGUGGGCGCAGUCCCGCUUGCUCUCGGGCAGCGGUGGGUGCAUCCUUGACUAUUCGUACCUCGUACUUUCCCUCUCUUGGCGGGCUGCAGACCGCCGGAGGGGGGAACCCCCAUAAACCUCUUGCAUCAGAAUCGAACCAGUCUGAACCAAACAAAAAUCGUUACAACUUUCAACAAUGGAUCUCUUGGCUCUGGCAUCGAUGAAGAACGCAGCGAAAUGCGAUAAGUAGUGUGAAUUGCAGAAUUUAGUGAAUCAUCGAAUCUUUGAACGCACAUUGCGCCCUGCGGUACUCCGCAGGGCAUGCCUGUUCGAGCGUCAUUUGAAAACCUCAAGCCCUGCUUGGUGUUGGGCGCCUGUCCCCGCUCCCCGCGGGACUCGCCUCGAAGGUAUUGGCAGCGGUCCCGCCGGCUCCCUCCCGAGCGCAGCAGUGCGCGCAAGGCGGAGGGCCGCGGGCCGCGUCCACGAAGACGGACCCCCAAGGUUUGGACCUC